GCCGCGGUAGCCCAGAUGGUAGAGGCGUCGCCAGUACAGAUGACGAAAGUCUCAGGUUUAAAUCCUGCUUGCGGUA